GUUAAAAAGCUCGUAGUUGGAUUUCGGAUGGGCCAGUUGGUCCGCCGCAAGGUGUGUUACUGACUGGUCUGCUCUUCUUCGCAAAGACUGCGUGUGCUCUUUGUUGAGUGUGCGUAGGAUUUACGACGUUUACUUUGAAAAAAUUAGAGUGUUCAAAGCAGGCUAUUGCUUGAAUACAUGAGCAUGGAAUAAUGGAAUAGGACUUUGGUCCCAUUUUGUUGGUUUCUAGGACCGAAGUAAUGAUUAAGAGGGACAAUUGGGGGCAUCCGUAUUUCGUUGUCAGAGGUGAAAUUCUUGGAUUUACGAAAGACGAACAACUGCGAAAGCACUUGCCAAGAGUGUUUUCGUUAAUCAAGAACGAAAGUUAGAGGAUCGAAGACGAUCAGAUACCGUCCUAGUUCUAACCAUAAACGAUGUCCGACUAGGGAUCAGCGGGCGUUAUCGUACGACCCCGUUGGCACCUUACGGGAAACCAAAGUUUCUGGAUUCCGGGGGAAGUAUAGUC
rnacentral:rRNA from 1 species